AAUUCAGGAGAGGAAAAUGGAAUUUCCAGUGUAGAGGUGAAAUUCGUAGAUAUUGGAAGGAACACCAGUGGCGAAGGCGAUUUUCUGGACUGAUAUUGACGCUGAGAUGCGAAGGCAUGGGUAGCAAACGGGAUUAGAUACCCCGGUAGUCCAUGCAGUAAACGAUGGGUGCUAGUCGUCGGACUUUUGUUCGGUGUCGUAGCUAACGCGUUAAGCACCCCGCCUGGGGAGUACGGUCGCAAGAUUAAAACUCAAAUAAAUUGACGGGGACCCGCACAAGCAGUGGAGCAUGUGGUUUAAUUCGACGCAACGCGAAGAACCUUACCAGCGUUUGACAUGGGAAGUGCCGGUUACAGAAUGGUAACCUUCAGUUCGGCUGGCUUCCACACAGGUGCUGCAUGGCUGUCGUCAGCUCGUGUCGUGAGAUGUUGGGUUAAGUCCCGCAACGAGCGCAACCCUUAUCGUUAGUUACUAACAGUUCGGCUGAGGACUCUAGCGAAACUGCCGGUGAUAAGCCGGAGGAAGGUGGGGAUGACGUCAAGUCCUCAUGGCCCUUACGGGCCGGGCUACACACGUGAUACAAUGGUAACUACAAAGAGCAGCGAUGGAGCAAUCUUCAGCAAAUCUCCAAAAGUUACCUCAGUUCGGAUUGUACUCUGCAACUCGAGUACAUGAAGUUGGAAUCGCUAGUAAUC
rnacentral:rRNA from 1 species